AAUAUUGGACAAUGGGCGCAAGCCUGAUCCAGCAAUACCGCGUGUGUGAAGAAGGCCUUAGGGUUGUAAAGCACUUUCAGUUGGGAGGAAAGAUUUAAGGUUAAUACCCUUAGAUAUUGACGUUACCAACAGAAGAAGCACCGGCUAACUCCGUGCCAGCAGCCGCGGUAAUACGGAGGGUGCAAGCGUUAAUCGGAAUUACUGGGCGUAAAGCGCACGUAGGUGGAUAAGCAAGUUGGAUGUGAAAGCCCUGGGCUCAACCUAGGAAUUGCAUUCAAAACUGCUUUUCUAGAGUACAGUAGAGGAAGGUGGAAUUUCCGGUGUAGCGGUGAAAUGCGUAGAUAUCGGAAGGAACACCAGUGGCGAAGGCGGCUUUCUGGACUGAUACUGACACUGAGGUGCGAAAGCGUGGGUAGCAAACGGGAUUAGAUACCCCGGUAGUCCACGCCGUA
rnacentral:rRNA from 1 species